UUUUAUGGUAAUCUUAUCGAGCUCCCUCGUCCAUUAGUCAUGACUUGUACAAAAGCCUCUAAUCUAUAGAGUUACCAAUUGAGUAAACAUUUUAUUAUAGUACUUUCAAAUGAAAGUACAACCUAAUUAAAUUUUUGGGCUUUGAUAUUGUACCUUCAAAUCGUAUGUAACAAUAAAUGGAAAUCAUUUUGGUUUAUACGAUUUAGCACCUGUUUGAUGAAAAUUUUUUGAGAUUAAACUUUGCGAAAAGUGUUUUUUUUUUUUUUUUAUAUCCAAGUAUCCCAGCUUACACUAGACUAAAUUCUAAACUCCAAGAUCCUUGCCCCUAGAACCUUGGAACAGGUAAAUCGCGAGUUAUGCCUCAACUGGAUCACAGGUUCCCCCCACCCCUUGUACGCUUCUGCGCACAAGAGAUCAUCCUCCAAAAUGAUUGCUCCAUACCAAAUAAAUCUGGCAGCAAGUUCCCACCAGGAUUCGAACUUCCACCAUGUCGUUGGAAGCAAGAUAAUGUUGAUUGAUCCACCAGUUGAGCUCUGCCUCGGGAGGCAUUUUUUUUUUUUUUUAGUUUUUAGAAUGCUUGGUCAAAAGGUAGGAAAAAUUAAGAGUUCACUUGC
rnacentral:lncRNA from 1 species